rnacentral:rRNA from 1 species
GUACACGCUGUGACUAGCAUAUCAAUAAGCGGAGGAAAAGAAACUAACAAGGAUUCCCCUAGUAACGGCGGAGUGAAGCGGGAAGAGCUCAAAUUUGAAAUCUUAAAGGGUUUCCCUUUACGAAUUGUAGUUUAAAGAAGUGUUUUCUGUUGAGGUUUUGGUAAAAGUUCUUUGGAAUAGGACAUCAUAGAGGGUGAGAAUCCCGUAUUUGACCUUUACUUUCAACUUUGUGAUACACUUUCAAAGAGUCGGAUUGUUUGGGAAUGCAGUCCAAAAUGGGUGGUAAAUUUCAUCUAAAGCUAAAUAUUGGCGAGAGACCGAUAGCGAACAAGUACCGUGAGGGAAAGGAUGAAAAGAACUUUGAAAAGAGAGUUAAACAGUACGUGAAAUUGUCAAAAGGGAAGCGUUUGGACACCAGUGUUGUUUUUCUGAAAAUCAAUUAAAGAACUGUUUAUGCUAAGCUGUUUAGACUUUAUCAGCUAACUGUUUAGUUUUGAGCUUUUCUUUAAUGCACUUUUCAGUUAACAAGUCAACAUCAAUUUCUUUUGCUGUAAAAAAGCUUGAGGAAGGUGGCUUGAGAUUCGUCUUAAGUGUUUAUAGCCUCUUGCCUAUGCAGUCGGAGAGACUUGAGGUCUGCAGCGUAGAUCCUUCGGGGCUAAAUGCAUUUGUGCUAAGUUAUAGCAUUUUAUAGACAACUUGUUGACUAUGAUUUGUCUUGUAGCUUACUCGCUUAUGUUAUUUUACCUACGCUUAGGAUGUUGAGUCGUAGAGCACGCAG